rnacentral:rRNA from 1 species
CCCUUCGGGGUCAGUGGCAGACGGGUGAGUAACGCGUGGGAACGUGCCCUUCAGUUCGGAAUAACCCAGGGAAACUUGGGCUAAUACCGGAUACGUGCGAGAGCAGAAAGAUUUAUCGCUGAAGGAUCGGCCCGCGUCUGAUUAGCUAGUUGGUAGGGUAAUGGCCUACCAAGGCGACGAUCAGUAGCUGGUCUGAGAGGAUGAUCAGCCACAUUGGGACUGAGACACGGCCCAAACUCCUACGGGAGGCAGCAGUGGGGAAUAUUGGACAAUGGGCGCAAGCCUGAUCCAGCCAUGCCGCGUGAGUGAUGAAGGCCUUAGGGUUGUAAAGCUCUUUCGUCCGGGACGAUAAUGACGGUACCGGAAGAAGAAGCCCCGGCUAACUUCGUGCCAGCAGCCGCGGUAAUACGAAGGGGGCUAGCGUUGUUCGGAAUCACUGGGCGUAAAGGGCGCGUAGGCGGCUUUGUAAGUCGGGGGUGAAAGCCUGUGGCUCAACCACAGAAUUGCCUUCAAUACUGCAUGGCUUGAGACCGGAAGAGGUAAGUGGAACUGCGAGUGUAGAGGUGAAAUUCGUAGAUAUUCGCAAGAACACCAGUGGCGAAGGCGGCUUACUGGUCCGG